rnacentral:misc_RNA from 1 species
CGGCUGUGGUAUUGGCUGAGCCCGGCGGCACUGAGGAUGCCAUGUCGCCAAAAUACGUCUGCUAAAGCACUCAAUGCAGCGAAACAGAGAGUCAGGAGAGCUGUGGUUCGGCUAUAAGCGCCCCACGGUGAAAAUAGAAAAACGACGCCGAUGAAUGCGACUGUUGAAUAUAUUUUUCUAACGAGACAAAAGCGAAAUCGGUCCAGUUGGCUUUU